UAGUAUUCUAUUGCCAGCGCUUAAUUGCGCGGCGAUAAACCUUACACACAUUGUCUAGUUUUUUUGAACUUUGCUUUGGGUGGUGAGCCUGGCUUACUGCCCAAAGGUCUAAACACAUUUUUUUAAUGUUAAAACCUUUAACCAAUAGUCAUGAAAAUUUUUAACAAAAAUUAAAAUCUUCA
rnacentral:misc_RNA from 1 species